rnacentral:tRNA from 1 species
GCCGGCAUAGCUCAGUGGUAGAGCAGCUGAUUCGUAAUCAGCAGGUCCUCGGUUCAAGUCCGAGUGCCGGCUCCA